rnacentral:lncRNA from 1 species
UUAUAUAUAGGGCGUGUUCGGCACGGAACGUUUGGGAGCGUUUGAGAGCUUCUAGCGUUUGACAAAACGCUCCUUUUUUAACAGAAAGUCUCGUUCGGCACUACAAGUUUCUAGUGUUUAGUUUAAACAAAACGCUUCAAAUUCAAAUACUACUUCAUGUAGCGUUUAACAAAAUGUUACAAGCUACAAACUACCCGCUACACGCUACAAGUCACCGGUUACCAGCUAAUUUUACCGAACACGCCCAUGAACCAUUGUUUUAUAUAAUCGUUAGAAUUAAUGCUAUUAAAUCAUUGUGUGUUUGUAUGUUUUAGUUUGUUUGUUGUUUCAAACUCUGUAUUCUCUUCUUAAUCAAUAGCCACAUAGAAGAUGACUCUUCCAAAUAUAAAAUUUUAGCAAAUUGGUUGAGUAUGGUGAUGGGUGACUUUAGUAAGUACAGAACAAUCGACUAUUGUGAAGGAUAGACAGAUUUUAAAUGGGUCAUUCAUCCUAAAUGAGGUGGUGUCUAGGUGUAAGGUCAAAACGAAGAAAGUGAUUAUUUUGAAGGUAGAUUUUGCUAAAGCCUGCGACUCGGUUAGAUGAGAUUUUUUGGAUGAGGUUAUGAGCCGAUUUGGGUUUGGUAUGAAGUGUGGGAGUUGGGUGCAGGGUUGUCCUCAUUCGACUACGAGCUUAGUGCUGGUCAACGACACUACGACAACCCCCACAUAAGUUUUGUUUUUGCAAGGUUUUGCAUCAUGGAGAUUCGUUAUCUCUUUUUUUAUUCAUUUUGGUGAUGGAAAUCUACAUAUAGCCUUUCAAAUGGCUAUGACUUAGAUUUGGCCCAAUUUAGUACUAAAUCACAAAUUCUUCUUCCAUCGUUGAAAUUUGAUUUUAGGUGUGAUCAAAACCGGAAAAAUCUUCAUUCUUAAUAAAAACAUCUUCUACAUGCCACAUGUCCAUUUUUUAAACCAGGCUUCUGUCAUGUGGCAUUCUCUCCAACAAUUCUAUCUAUUUUUUCCCACCCAAUUGAUGAAUCGAUAUCAAAUCUGUAAUCAAAUUUGUAUCCCUAAACUUCGUCUGCUGAAUUUGGUGCAAAUUCGGUUACCAUAUUAUCCCUGCAUUCAAAUUCAAUUUCAAAUACAUUAGAAUGAAAUCAGCAAUAUCCCAUAUAAUCAGCGAUUAUUUUGAAUUCAUUAAUCUUUUACCAAAUUUAUAGGAAUCAUAAUAGGAAUGUAAUCAUGAUUACAAUAUUAUCUUCAUUCUAUUCAUUACACCUAUAAAUACCGAUUCCUAAAUUUUUUUCCAACAUUUUCCAUCUUUCUCAUUUGAUUCUUAUCGUCUUCUUCAUCUGUGCAAUUCUUGGUAAAGCAUCCCAAACAACCAUGUCGAUUUUUUAUUUGUAUAUUAUUUUUCUUUAUUUUGAUUAUUUCUAUAUUCUACUCCUUCUGUUACCCUUAUGUACCAUCGUAUAAACAUAUAUGUGUAUUUAUGUUUGUUCCUUUGCGUAUGUAAUAUCUUAUAGUUAUACAUGUUAAAUAAAUUAACUUAAGUAUAUGAACAAACAUUGAUUGGUCUAUAAUUAUUAGCAUAGUAGCAUAAUAUAUGCUCACGAUUUAAAUGAAAGAAUUAAUGUGUCCUUUAUUCUAAAUAUCUUAAUUGUUGUUGUACUUUUAAAUUUAGACCAUUCACGGCAUUCUACUUACAUUAGUUUCUAAGUAAUGGCACAUGUAACGCACGUAGAUCCGGGCUAGUCAAUUUAGAGACGAUAAGCAUCAAAAUGACUUUUUGAUGGAAGAUUAUUUUGAAGAAUUAAUCUUAACCAAGUUUUAGUAUAUGUCACAAGGUUUUCGUGCAUAUAAAAAACGCCAAAAUCCGAGUUAUAACGAAGAAGUUAUGACCUGUCGAAGUUUCGCGACAGAACCGGCACGACCCAGCGCGACGUAAAUAGUGAAUUUAAGGUAGAUAGAUAUCUAUCCUUAGUGAUCUAAACGAGAUUCGAAGAUGUUUUCGAUAGUAGUCCAACGAUAAAAAGACAGACGAAAACGGUGUUCAGAUGAAGGGGUUAUAAAUUUAUAACGGAGUUUCCUGUCCCGGCCUACUAAAAAUAAUAUAUAAGUAAUAUAAUUAUAACAUAUUAAAAAUAAAGACAAAAUUAGCCAAUGGAGUCUAAACGAGAGUUGUAGAGCAUAAUCUCACCUUCGCGUCGAUAUAAAGAACGUCGAAAACGGAGUUCGUAUGCGAAAGUUAUGAAUUUCUAAAGUUCGGGGCGCGAAACCCCAAAACUGUCAGGGACCACGACGUGGCAAGCAGUACCACAACGUGGCAAGUCUCCUGACACCUCCGGGAGUCCCCCAGAUGCAACUUGUGAUGACGUAUGCAGUGACGACCAAGCCCACGACAUGGAAAAAGGGUGCCACGACGUGGCAAGGGCCAAAUUUGCCCUAUAAAUAGAUUUGAAGGGCCAGCCGACUAUGGNNNNNNNNNNNNNNNNNNNNNNNNNNNNNNNNNNNNNNNNNNNNNNNNNNNNNNNNNNNNNNNNNNNNNNNNNNNNNNNNNNNNNNNNNNNNNNNNNNNNNNNNNNNNNNNNNNNNNNNNNNNNNNNNNNNNNNNNNNNNNNNNNNNNNNNNNNNNNNNNNNNNNNNNNNNNNNNNNNNNNNNNNNNNNNNNNNNNNNNNNNNNNNNNNNNNNNNNNNNNNNNNNNNNNNNNNNNNNNNNNNNNNNNNNNNGUGAGUGUAUAGUCCCUUUCAUAAACACGAUUAUAAUACAAGUAUUGUUUGAAUGUAUUAAGUAUAUGUUUGGUGUGAGUGUAUAGUCACUUUCAUCUUACACAUAGAUAUGAAGUAUUUUAUAAAAUACGUGCUAUGUGUAUAUAUAUUGUUGUUUAUAUGUGAGUGUGUGGUUACUUUCUUCUAACGCAUAAUUAUGAAGUAUUUUAUACGAAAUACAUGCUAUGUGUAUAAUAUAAAGUUGUUUAUAUGUGUGAGUGUAUAGUCCCUUUCAUAAACACGAUUAUAAUACAAAUAUUGUUUGAAUGUAUUAAGUAUAUGUUUUGGGUGAGUAUGUGGUCAUUUUCUUCUAACACAUAAAUAUUAAGUAUAUGUUAUGAAAUACGUGCUAUGUGUUUAUAUAUUGUUUGUUUNUAUAUAUAUGUAUAUAUAUAUAUAUAUAUAUAUAUAUAUAUAUAUUUGUAUCUACAAAUAUAUUGGGUAGGACAUGGGUAGAUGAUAUCCGUGAGUAUGGAUCAGAUCAAGAGGUUAGUUUUAGAUCCGUGAGUAUAGAUUAGAUCAAGAGAUUGGAUUUAGAUCCGAGAAUAUGGAAUAGGAAAAGAGAUAAACUUGUUAUUAAUCCGGGAGUAUGAAUUAAGACAUAGUAAAUUGUCCCUAGUCCAGGAGUAUGGAUUGGGCACAGUUUAGAUCCGGGAGUAUGGAUCAGAACAGGAUUUAGGUAUAGUAAAUUGUCCCUAGUCCGGGAGUAUGGAUUGGGCACAGUUUUAGAUCCGGGAGUAUGGAUCAGACCAAUAGGUAAACUUGUUAUUAAUCCGGGAGUAUGGAUUAAGACAUAGUUAAUUGUCCCUAGUCCGGGAGUAUGGAUUGGGCACAGUUUUAGAUCCGGGAGUAUGGAUCAGACCAAGAGAUUAGUUUAGAUCCGGGAGUAUGGAUUAGACCAAGAGGUUAGUUUUAGGUCCGAGAGUAUGGAUCAGGUGGAGAGAUUAGUUUAGAUCCGUGAGUAGGGAUCAGAUAAAGAGGAAAAGUUUAGAUACAAGAGUUUAGAUCGUGGCGUUGUGAGGAUUGAUGGUGUGGGUUAAGAGUUGCUUUUAUAUGGUGAAAUUAUAUAAUUUUGGAUGUUCUAUAUAUAUUUAUAUGAUAUAACAUUGUGGGAUGAAAACCCAAUAUGCUCACCAGGCUCCCAAGCCUGACCCACUCAGUUUCCUUUGUAUCACAGGUACCGAUACGAAGAUAUAUUUCACGGAAAGAUUAAAGGAGAUGUAAAAUCUUUAGUGUAAAUAAUGUAAGUUCUGUUUAUGCUUAUGUGUCUGUAUCGGAACAUGACAUCCCAAGAUUUUGUUAUAUAAUGAAAAUACAUUUCUUUAAAGAAAUGUUUUGAUAAAUCUUUAUCAUAUUUUGGGAACAAAUUCCACAACUGUUUUCUUUAAACGAUUACUCUGAUUUUAAAACAAAGCAUAAACAAAUCGGUCUUUUCUGGCCGUGAAAUUGGGGAUGUCACAGCACAAAUAUCUAUUGAUUAUGUUAACAAUUUCAAUUAGGUCAUUGUGACAUAUACCUAUCGACUACAUUAGUUUCUAAGUAAUAGCACAUAUACCUUUUCUUUUAUUUGUUGUUUAUAAAACUGCAAUUAUUGUUUUUUUAAAUGACAAUUCUGCCUUUUUAAUUAUAUUAUACGAAAUAAAUGUUUGUUCACAUCGGGCAACCUGCUUUUGAAUAUGUUUAUGGCAAUAUCUUGUACCAAGAACAAACAAUAAAACUGUCAUAUUUCUUUUUUAAUAUAAAAUGAUAAUUAUGUCCUUUUAUAUUAUCUUAUACAAAUAUAGGGUAAUUCAUAAUAAAGCAUUAUCCUUUUGCAUAUACUUACGUUUUUUUGUGGUUUGUCUUUUAUUGUAGAUAUCUUCAUGGUGUUGUAAUUUUAAGUUAGACCAUUCUUAGCAUUCUACUUAGCAUACUUCAUGUUUUAAAAAUUAUAGCAUUGUAAGAGUACAUUGCUUCUCAUAUUUAUAUAAUCUUAUACCAAAUAACUUUAAUGUAUGGUAAUUUCUUAGCCAAAGGGAAAAAAUGUCAAAUUCCUAUAAUAAACAAAAUAUAAAACAAUUAUUAUUUCUUUGACAUAGAAAAUUACAAUUAUGCCCUUUUCUAUUAAUGUUGUCAUUUGUUUUUAUUGUUUGUUUUUUGUUCGUCCUAUGUGUACUUAAAAAUGCCUAAUAACUAUUUAAAAAUACAUUGAUAAAGCCAAGCACAAAGAACUCGUGCAACUUCAUGAUUUAACAUAUUUUUUUCAAUUACUAGAAAUAACAAUGUAUUUUUUCUAAUGUGUAAUUAGCAUAAUUGUACAAGCAAUUACCAUGCAUGUCACGUAAAACUAUAGCUACUUGCAAUAAGAAAAACCAAUAAAUAUUUCCAUCACCUAAUAAAAUACAUAAAUUUAUUUGGAAAAUAAUACUUUAAUUAAAUUAUAUUAACAACUUUUUUUUGAAAAUAAGAAAAUCAAAGUGUAUGAAAGAUUACGAAAGAGACUUUGAAAGGAGCAUUAUCUAUUCUAAAACUAAUUCAUGGCACAAACUAAUUCAUGUAGUCUCUUAAGAGUAUUAAACAAUAAAUGAUUUAACAAAUGUUACUUAGUGAUAACCACUCCUAAGUGCUCUCUAAGUUUGUAACCAUGCAAUGAUUUUCCAUAAUAGCAGAAAGACACAGGUGUAACAUUUUUAAACACUAAAUGAUGAAGAAAAAUCACCUUUUGAUGAUAGCAAGAAUGGUCCACUCUAGUAAACCUACAAAUCAUGGAUAGAUAGUUACAACAAAACUCAAACUCAAACCUGUGGUAUUAUAAGAUAACAGAAAUUGUUCCUACUAACAGUGCAGGGGCAUUUCCGUCAAUAUCAUUUUGUAUUUUAAAAAAGCAUAAUAGGACAAAUUGUUAUUACUCUAUUUCAAGAUUUUUCCUUCAUACACUACAUUCUUAUACACCCAAAAUCUGAAAUUUGUAAGUGGAAUCUUAAUCUUAUAUCUGUACAAUUACCAUGUCAAUUUAAUUUGGAAGGUACAUAAAUUCAAACAAAUACUCACAUUGUAUGAAAUUCAAAAUUUCAAGCAAAUUGACAGGUACCUAGUUAUGUCUUAAGUCUUAAAGUAUUUCGAGAUAUUCCUUACUACCACUUUAGUUUUCACUAACAUCUUCAAAGACAACGUCAUUUCUACAAAAAAUAAUUAGGUAAAAUUAUCUUCCAAUUAAUGUAUGUUAUGUUAAAUAAACUUAGAUUAACAAAGAUUUAGAUAAUUUCUUACCGAACAUUUUUCCGUCUUCAACCCCCAAUGUUUCGUUUCUUCAUUCUCUGAGUUCUACAUCGGAUAUUAAUCAACAUAAGUUUCUCUUUAGUUCAAAUUUCUUCUAUGGUUGUAUAUUCGUAUCUGCCUUCAUCGAUAGCAAUGGAGAAACUUACAUACCCUUUGUGAAAUGAAUACGGGGCGAUGUUUCAGGUGUUGGCGGAAAUAUCGAUUUGGAGAUAAUUCUAGGUCUUCGUUUCUAUUACAGUUAGUGGGGGUGGGGUU